CAAGUAAUCCCUCUGUCCGGGAAUACUUGUCAUAAAAAUGGAUACAAAUGGAUCUAUUUAGAACUAAAAUACAUCUAGAUACAUCCAUUCCUCGGACAAGUAUUUCCGGAUGGAGGGAGUAUAAU
rfam:Triticum aestivum genome assembly, contig: Triticum_aestivum_CS42_TGACv1_scaffold_148266_2BS